rnacentral:rRNA from 1 species
GACGAACGCUGGCGGCGUGCCUAAUACAUGCAAGUCGAGCGCUUAUUUCAUCCCGAGUGCUUGCACUCAAUUGGAAAGAGGAGGGGCGGACGGGUGAGUAACACGUGGGUAACCUACCCAUCAGAGGGGGAUAACACUUGGAAACAGGUGCUAAUACCGCAUAACAGUUUAUGCUGCAUGGCAUAAGAGUGCAAGGGGCUUUCGGGUGUCGCUGAUGGAUGGACCAGCGGUGCAUUAGCUAGUUGGUGAGGUAACGGCUCACCAAGGCCACGAUGCAUAGCCGACCUGAGAGGGUGAUCGGCCACACUGGGACUGAGGCACGGCCCAGACUCCUACGGGAGGCAGCAGUAGGGAAUCUUCGGCAAUGGACGAAAGUCUGACCGAGCAACGCCGCGUGAGUGAAGAAGGUUUUCGGAUCGUAAAACUCUGUUGUUAGAGAAGAACAAGGACGUUAGUAACUGAACGUCCCCUGACGGUAUCUAACCAGAAAGCCACGGCUAACUACGUG